UUUCCCAUUUGAAUACCACUUUUUUCUCCUAAUAAAGCUAAUAGACCUAAUAAGCAUAGUGCCCAUGCUUAUGGGACAGAUGAAAGGUGCCAUGAUCUGAAGAGGGGGUGCUGUUCCAUGUCUCUCCCCUAUAUGAAAUGGCUGAACAGAAGAAA